AUGGCGUUCUUGAAACAUGGCAAUUCUCCCAAGGACCCUCAAGUGUUCCUCCUCAUCUCAGAGUGUGAAUUCUCAAAGAAAAACCAGUCGGUGAGCCUGGCCUGCUUGGUAAUUGGAAACCAUCCACUGGAAGUCAGCUGGAACUCAACCGCGAAGUACCAGACUAAGAGGACCUUCCCCCUCGAAAAGAAGGAUAAGGAUUACAUGAUGAGUAGCCAGCUCUCUUUGUGGACCUCAGAACUCAACAGCACCCACACUUGCCGCAUAAAAAACAACUCCAAACUUGCUAUUGAAAAGACUUUCCAAUUGCCUAGAAAAUUGAAUGCUCAAUCCUCGCAGAAAACUACUUUACCUCCCCCAGUGGAAGUCACCAAAGCUACUAACACCCGAAGGGACCCAGUGGAGACUAUGGCACCCAGUUACCCCUCUGUGAACUUUCUGGCCACAUCCACCUAUCCUGAGAUGUCAUCGUGGCUCAUGUGUGAGGUUUCCGGCUUCUUCCCCCAAGACAUCAAUCUAAUAUGGCUGAGGUUCCAGAGUAAAAUAAACACUUCGUACUUUGCCACUGCCCAACCCACCCGAGAGCCUGGGGGCAACACGUUCCAGACCUGGAGUGUCUUGAGAAUACCAGUCACUCUAAACUCUUCACUUGACACCUACACAUGCGUGGUGGAACAUGUGGCCUCACAGACCAAGCUCAAUGCCAGCAAAAGGCUGGACAUAAGUGGCAUGGCCAACACCUUCCCCGACUUGUGCAUCAGGGAUGAGCAAACCGACAGCUACCUGGACAUAGAUGAGGAGAACAGCCUGUGGCCCACAAUGUGCACCUUCGUGGCUCUCUUCCUGCUCACACUGCUCUACAGUGGCUUUGUCACUUUCAUCAAGGUGAAAUAGACCAGGACAGCAGCAUCCUGCAACUAAAGAAAUAAAGUGCUUUCCCUCAACAUGAAGCCCACAAAGAGGAUGUCUUCUAUGCAGAGAAGCUCCAGGCUAUCCUCCCAACCCCCUGCUCUCCACCCAGCCUCUCAGACACAAAAUGACUGGCAUCCUUGGCUAUAGGCAAAGCAGGGGACAUGCUGCCCAAGUCCUACUCCCGCUAUCCUCUCCCUCCUGCCAAGCCCCCAUCCUCACAUAAACAUGCAUGGUGCACUCCACCUGCCUCCUGCUUUUUCGUUUCCAUGGUCUGGAUAAACUCAGGUCACAGCACAUAAGAUCUGAGGCAAACAAUGGAGGGAAAGGUCACUCAGGAGGGGUGUCAAGGACACACUGAGGAAAACUGUUUAGUGAAUUUAGGCAUUCCCCUCCCACCCU